rnacentral:rRNA from 1 species
ACGGAAGGCAGCAGUGGGGAAUAUUGGGCAAUGGGGGAAACCCUGACCCAGCAACGCCGCGUGAAGGAAGAAGGCCUUCGGGUUGUAAACUUCUUUUAAGAGGGACGAAGAAGUGACGGUACCUCUUGAAUAAGCCACGGCUAACUACGUGCCAGCAGCCGCGGUAAUACGUAGGUGGCAAGCGUUAUCCGGAUUUACUGGGUGUAAAGGGCGCGUAGGCGGGAAAGCAAGUCAGAUGUGAAAUUCCACGGCUUAACUGUGGGCGUGCAUUUGAAACUGUUUUUCUUGAGUACUGGAGAGGUAGGCGGAAUUCCCAGUGUAGCGGUGAAAUGCGUAGAUAUAAGGAAGAACACCAGUGGCGAAGGCGGAUUACUGGACGAUAACUGACGGUGAGGCGCGAAAGCGUGGGGAGCAAACAGGAUUAGAUACCCUGGUA